GGGAGUGGUCGAAGGUGGGACUGGCGAUUGGGACGAAGUCGUAACAAGGUAGCCGUACCGGAAGGUGCGGCUGGAUCACCUCCUUUCU
rnacentral:rRNA from 1 species